rnacentral:rRNA from 1 species
GACGAACGCUGGCGGCGUGCUUAACACAUGCAAGUCGAACGGAAAGGCCCUGCUUUUGUGGGGUGCUCGAGUGGCGAACGGGUGAGUAACACGUGAGUAACCUGCCCUUGACUUUGGGAUAACUUCAGGAAACUGGGGCUAAUACCGGAUAGGAGCUCCUGCUGCAUGGUGGGGGUUGGAAAGUUUCGGCGGUUGGGGAUGGACUCGCGGCUUAUCAGCUUGUUGGUGGGGUAGUGGCUUACCAAGGCUUUGACGGGUAGCCGGCCUGAGAGGGUGACCGGCCACAUUGGGACUGAGAUACGGCCCAGACUCCUACGGGAGGCAGCAGUGGGGAAUAUUGCACAAUGGGCGGAAGCCUGAUGCAGCAACGCCGCGUGAGGGAUGACGGCCUUCGGGUUGUAAACCGCUUUCGCCUGUGACGAAGCGUGAGUGACGGUAAUGGGUAAAGAAGCACCGGCUAACUACGUGCCAGCAGCCGCGGUGAUACGUAGGGUGCGAGCGUUGUCCGGAUUUAUUGGGCGUAAAGGGCUCGUAGGUGGUUGAUCGCGUCGGAAGUGUAAUCUUGGGGCUUAACCCUGAGCGUGCUUUCGAUACGGGUUGACUUGAGGAAGGUAGGGGAGAAUGGAAUUCCUGGUGGAGCGGUGGAAUGCGCAGAUAUCAGGAGGAACACCAGUGGCGAAGGCGGUUCUCUGGGCCUUUCCUGACGCUGAGGAGCGAAAGCGUGGGGAGCGAACAGGCUUAGAUACCCUGGUAGUCCACGCUGUAAACGGUGGGUACUAGGUGUGGGGUCCGUUCCACGGGUUCCGUGCCGUAGCUAACGCUUUAAGUACCCCGCCUGGGGAGUACGGCCGCAAGGCUAAAACUCAAAGGAAUUGACGGGGCCCCGCACAAGCGGCGGAGCAUGCGGAUUAAUUCGAUGCAACGCGUAGAACCUUACCUGGGUUUGACAUGGAUCGGGAGCGCUCAGAGAUGGGUGUGCCUCUUUUGGGGUCGGUUCACAGGUGGUGCAUGGCUGUCGUCAGCUCGUGUCGUGAGAUGUUGGGUUAAGUCCCGCAACGAGCGCAACCCUUGUUCACUGUUGCCAGCACGUUAUGGUGGGGACUCAGUGGAGACCGCCGGGGUCAACUCGGAGGAAGGUGGGGAUGACGUCAAGUCAUCAUGCCCCUUAUGUCCAGGGCUUCACGCAUGCUACAAUGGCUGGUACAGAGAGUGGCGAGCCUGUGAGGGUGAGCGAAUCUCGGAAAGCCGGUCUCAGUUCGGAUUGGGGUCUGCAACUCGACCUCAUGAAGUCGGAGUCGCUAGUAAUCGCAGAUCAGCAACGCUGCGGUGAAUACGUUCCCGGG